rnacentral:rRNA from 1 species
AUUGAACGCUGGCGGCAGGCCUAACACAUGCAAGUAGAGCGGAGCGGCGGACGGUUGAGUAAUGCCUAGGAAUCUGCAUGGUAGUGGGGGAUAACUUCCGGAAACGGGCGCUAUUACCGCAGACUAUAAGUUGAGCAUAGGGCGGAUUAGCUAGUUGGUGGGGUAAAGGCUUACCAAGGCGACGAUCCGUCACAGGUCGGAGAGGAUGAUCAGUCACACUGGAACUGAGACACGGUCCAGACUCCUACGGGAGGCAGCAGUGGGGAAUAUUGGACAAUGGGCGAAAGCCUGAUCCAGCCAUGCCGCGUGUGUGAAGAAGGUCUUCGGAUUGUAAAGCACUUUAAGUUGGGAGGCGUUACCAACAGAAUAAGCACCGGCUAACUUCGUGCCAGCAGCCGCGGUAAUAC